rnacentral:lncRNA from 1 species
CCUCUGUCAAGUCAAAACUCAUGAUAAAAAGACUGAAUCACAUGAUAACUACACCUAGAGGUUCAUACUUUUAUUCUACUAGGUUGUCACUACAUACUAGUAGGUGUCACUGAUGGAUUGUGGGACUCAUUAGUGUCAUCUUGAUGAUCGAUGAUCUUCGAAGGAUAAAGUUAAAAUUAUUCCAACCCAUCAAAAGAAGUUUCGAUG